GUUAGUUGCCAUCAUUCAGUUGGGCACUCUAGCGAGACUGCCGGUAAUAACCGGAGGAAGUGGGAUGACGUCAAAUCAUCAUGCCCCUUAUGACCUGGGCUACACACGUGCUACAAUGGUUGGUACAACGAGUUGCGAGUCGGUGACGGCGAGCUAAUCUCUUAAAGCCAAUCUCAGUUCGGAUUGUAGGCUGCAACUCGCCUACAUGAAGUCGGAAUCGCUAGUAAUCGCGGAUCAGCACGCCGCGGUGAAUACGUUCCCGGGCCUU
rnacentral:rRNA from 1 species